UACGAAGGGGGGCUAGCGUUGCUCGGAAUUACUGGGCGUAAAGCGCACGUAGGCGGCUUUCUAAGUCGGGGGUGAAAUCCUGGAGCUCAACUCCAGAACUGCCUUCGAUACUGGAGAGCUCGAGUCCGGGAGAGGUGAGUGGAACUGCGAGUGUAGAGGUGAAUUCGUAGAUAUUCGCAAGAACAGCCAGUGGCGAAGGCGGCU
rnacentral:rRNA from 1 species